GUCACGGCGGUUUUCCGAUUCGCUUGGUACAGGUCGGGAACAGAUUGUUAAUCGGAGAAUAUAGUUCCCGCCUUGUAUCAACUGAAUCAGAAACUGCUGUGAGU
rfam:Helianthus annuus linkage group 3, whole genome shotgun sequence.